rnacentral:sRNA from 1 species
CGACUGCAUAUACUCCAAUCCAAACAACUACUGUUUCAAGUUUUGCUACUCGGAAAAUUGCAAUAACGAGACAAACCCUUGGCUUCACGAUAACCCUUGACUUCACCAUAACCCUAAUGGCUGUUCCUACAAUGUCGCCUCCGGGUUUUUGGCGGUGGCUGUUCCAUUAAUUAUCUUCUUUACUCCAUAACAUAAAUGGAUAUUAAGCUGCAGAUUCUUUGUUCUAAUUGUGUCAUGAAAUGUGUUUUGCUGUAUUUCAUUGCUUAAAGAAUGCAGUUACUUUUUAAUAAAUGUAAACUUAUAAUUUUUUUAAAGGAGUCAAUUCACAUGCGUCCGCUGCAUUCAUACAAAAACACUCAAGUUCAUUUAUUACGCCACUUUUGCCAACCCUGUGGCUUCUUCUAUUUUGUUGCUGAUGACUUGAAGCUUGAUAAUGUAUUUUUCUAGCCUUUUAUACUGUUCUUCGUUCAGAAUGUUCUUAACUGCCAUCUGUGAAGAAAAUAUGUUGUUUUA